UGGGGAAUCUUAGACAAUGGGCGCAAGCCUGAUCUAGCCAUGCCGCGUGAGCGAUGAAGGCCUUAGGGUUGUAAAGCUCUUUCAGCUGGGAAGAUAAUGACUGUACCAGCAGAAGAAGCCCCGGCUAACUCCGUGCCAGCAGCCGCGGUAAUACGGAGGGGGCUAGCGUUGCUCGGAAUUACUGGGCGUAAAGCGCACGUAGGCGGACUGGAAAGUCAGGGGUGAAAGCCCGGGGCUCAACCCCGGAACUGCCCUUGAAACUCCCGGUCUUGAGGUCGAGAGAGGUGAGUGGAAUUCCGAGUGUAGAGGUGAAAUUCGUAGAUAUUCGGAGGAACACCAGUGGCGAAGGCGGCUCACUGGCUCGAUACUGACGCUGAGGUGCGAAAGCGUGGGGAGCAAACA
rnacentral:rRNA from 1 species